rnacentral:lncRNA from 1 species
ACUUGACCUGUCCUUUGUAGCCAUGUUCCUUGUGGCCGCUGAGCACGAAGAAACAACGUACGUGAAAUUAGGCAAGAAUAGGGCCCCUUAAUUUGGACUAAAGUAAUUGUUAGAUAUACAGUUGAGGAUAAUUCCCUAGUAGGGCCGACAAAUUAGGUGUAAACUUAUUAUUUCGAAAAUAAAAAUGUCAUAUGUUUGGAACCCAAGUUUUAUUUGAAAGAAUGCUUUUGUAGGAAACAGCACAACCCCUAGGUCCUAAGCAAGCUGUCUGAGUUCUCAGUCUGACUUUCCUUCCAUGGAGUUGUAUUUCUAUAUUCCAUUUUAUAGGACUUCUCAAUGUACACAUGGAAAAACCAAUUUCAUAUGAUUUUUUAGUUGCACUUAGGAAAGAGAAGAUACAUAUGCAAAAACUAACCUCUGCAAUUUUUGAAAAUCAAAAAGUUUAAUUUUUUGAAAAGUUAAAGGGUAGGCCAAUGGACUAUACCGAUCACUCGAAAUUUUAUUUAAUAUUUAGUUAAACAAUUAAAUACCUUCAACAUUAUUGCAUAGUUCCUAGUCUGAUUAAUUCCCACCAAACCACGCAUUUGUUAGAUCAUUCUUGUGAUUUCCCUGGACGACCUGUUGUGAGCCUUGUUAUGACUAUCACUUAUCCGUGACAUUGUCUUAUCCGCAGGGAGAAACGUACCACGGUACCAGCAUAUGGUCUCCAGGUACUCAAUUACAUGAGCUUGGAUUAACAUUGUCCACACAUUCA